GACGAACGCUGGCGGCGUGCCUAACACAUGCAAGUCGAACGGGAUUAAGGGGCUUGCUCCUUAAUCUAGUGGCGCACGGGUGAGUAACGCGUGGAUAAUCUACCCGAUGAUCUGGGAUAACAUUUCGAAAGAGGUGCUAAUACCGGAUAAGCCCACGGGGUCUUCGGACUCUGCGGGAAAAGGGGGGGACCUUCGGGCCUUCUGUCAUCGGAUGAGUCCGCGUACCAUUAGCUAGUUGGCGGUGUAAGAGACCACCAAGGCGACGAUGGUUAGCUGGUCUGAGAGGAUGAUCAGCCACACUGGAACUGAGACACGGUCCAGACUCCUACGGGAGGCAGCAGUGGGGAAUUUUGCGCAAUGGGGGAAACCCUGACGCAGCAACGCCGCGUGAGUGAUGAAGGCCUUCGGGUCGUAAAGCUCUGUCAGAGGGAAAGAAAUGUAUUGUGGCUAAUAUCCACGAUGCUUGACGGUACCCUCAAAGGAAGCACCGGCUAACUCUGUGCCAGCCGCCGCCGUAAAAC
rnacentral:rRNA from 1 species